UUAAAACACCAUGAAUGUAACCAUUGGCCAAAAACACUUCCUCACCCUGCUCAGAGUCGUGAGAAUAUAUUCCAAUUGUGUUGAAAAGCUAAGUUUGGGGUAAAAAACCCCAAAAGCUCUCAAAGCCCUAGAAGAUGCAAAAACAAUAGAAAAAGAAAAAGUGAUGAAUCGAGAAAAAGAAAGAAAAAUAAAAAUCAAAUACUCGAUGAUUCCAAAGAAA
rnacentral:lncRNA from 1 species